rnacentral:rRNA from 1 species
GACGAACGCUGGCGGCGUGCUUAACACAUGCAAGUCGAACGGAAAGGCCCUGCUUUUGUGGGGUGCUCGAGUGGCGAACGGGUGAGUAACACGUGAGUAACCUGCCCUUGACUUUGGGAUAACUUCAGGAAACUGGGGCUAAUACCGGAUAGGAGCUCCUGCUGCAUGGUGGGGGUUGGAAAGUUUCGGCGGUUGGGGAUGGACUCGCGGCUUAUCAGCUUGUUGGUGGGGUAGUGGCUUACCAAGGCUUUGACGGGUAGCCGGCCUGAGAGGGUGACCGGCCACAUUGGGACUGAGAUACGGCCCAGACUCCUACGGGAGGCAGCAGUGGGGAAUAUUGCACAAUGGGCGGAAGCCUGAUGCAGCAACGCCGCGUGCGGGAUGACGGCCUUCGGGUUGUAAACCGCUUUCGCCUGUGACGAAGCGUGAGUGACGGUAAUGGGUAAAGAAGCACCGGCUAACUACGUGCCAGCAGCCGCGGUGAUACGUAGGGUGCGAGCGUUGUCCGGAUUUAUUGGGCGUAAAGGGCUCGUAGGUGGUUGAUCGCGUCGGAAGUGUAAUCUUGGGGCUUAACCCUGAGCGUGCUUUCGAUACGGGUUGACUUGAGGAAGGUAGGGGAGAAUGGAAUUCCUGGUGGAGCGGUGGAAUGCGCAGAUAUCAGGAGGAACACCAGUGGCGAAGGCGGUUCUCUGGGCCUUUCCUGACGCUGAGGAGCGAAAGCGUGGGGAGCGAACAGGCUUAGAUACCCUGGUAGUCCGCGCUGUAAACGGUGGGUACUAGGUGUGGGGUCCAUUCCACGGGUUCCGUGCCGUAGCUAACGCUUUAAGUACCCCGCCUGGGGAGUACGGCCGCAAGGCUAAAACUCAAAGGAAUUGACGGGGCCCCGCACAAGCGGCGGAGCAUGCGGAUUAAUUCGAUGCAACGCGUAGAACCUUACCUGGGUUUGACAUGGAUCGGGAGUGCUCAGAGAUGGGUGUGCCUCUUUUGGGGUCGGUUCACAGGUGGUGCAUGCCUGUCGUCAGCUCGUGUCGUGAGAUGUUGGGUUAAGUCCCGCAACGAGCGCAACCCUUGUUCACUGUUGCCAGCACGUUAUGGUGGGGACUCAGUGGAGACCGCCGGGGUCAACUCGGAGGAAGGUGGGGAUGACGUCAAGUCAUCAUGCCCCUUAUGUCCAGGGCUUCACGCAUGCUACAAUGGCUGGUACAGAGAGUGGCGAGCCUGUGAGGGUGAGCGAAUCUCGGAAAGCCGGUCUCAGUUCGGAUUGGGGUCUGCAACUCGACCUCAUGAAGUCGGAGUCGCUAGUAAUCGCAGAUCAGCAACGCUGCGGUGAAUACGUUCCCGGGGCU